rnacentral:rRNA from 1 species
UGGGGAAUAUUGCGCAAUGGGCGAAAGCCUGACGCAGCAACGCCGCGUGAGUGAUGAAGGCCUUCGGGUCGUAAAGCUCUGUCGGAGGGAACGAAUGCUCUUGAGGUUAAUAGCCUCGGGAGGUGACGGUACCCUCAAAGGAAGCACCGGCUAACUCUGUGCCAGCAGCCGCGGUAAUACGUAGGGACCAAGCGUUGUUCGGAUUUACUGGGCGUAAAGGGCGCGUAGGCGGCAUGACAAGUCACUUGUGAAAUCUCUGGGCUUAACCCAGAACGGCCAAGUGAUACUGUCGCGCUAGAGUGCAGAAGGGGCAAUCGGAAUUCUUGGUGUAGCGGUGAAAUGCGUAGAUAUCAAGAGGAACACCUGAGGUGAAGACGGGUUGCUGGGCUGACACUGACGCUGAGGCGCGAAAGCCAGGGGAGCAAACGGGAUUAGAUACCCCAGUAGUCCCUGAGCGGGCUGGCAAGGCGCAU